ensembl:lncRNA
UGGGAGAUGGCGCUGGGCUCUGGCCCCUCAGGUGACCUCGUCAGGUAUUUCCAGAGAUAAUCAGAAGAGAAUCUGUAGGAGCGGUGUCCUUAUAAAAAGGGCCACAUGGGCACAGGGACAGGCAGGCACGCAGACAGACGCCUGCGAAGGCUGGGGCCAAGCUGCUUCCUGCCAAGGAGCCCCAGAAGCAGGGAGGCGGGCUUGCUGUCCCCUGGAGCCCUCAGAGGGAGCAGGGCCUGUGACGGAUAACCCGACCUCAAGACGGCCAGCCUCGAACCAGAAUAAGCUCCUCACUGGCAUACUUUGUCUUGGCAGCCAAGCAAAAUAAAAAAUUGUGACCUUGUUUUACACACCAGGAAACAGGCCUGGGGAGAUGCAGGGACAUCCCUGCAGCCCUUAGGCCAGGAGGGGGCAGGUGAGGCCAGGUGGCCCUCGGGGUCCAGCAUGCUGGGCUCACUGGCUUGCCCCAGCGCUCACUGCUGCUUCUGCCCCAGGGCCUUUGCUCUGCCUGAAGGGCUCCCCCUCCCCCGCCCUGCCGGUCUUUGCUCAAGUCCUGACCGUCACCCUGUCUGAGGCAGUCUCCCUGUCUUGGUCUCUGCUGCACAACAGAAAGCCCUUGUCUUGACAGGCAGGCUGUGCACCGAGUGUGGCUCCGAUCGGAACGAGAGCGUGAAGACCUUUCAUCUGUCCCACUCUUGUGUCCUGAUGCCCCAGCCAGGUAGAUAGGAGAGCCAAGGAUGGCCGUGCUGGCCCUUUGCACACCCUCUCGACUCAGGCCAGUGUCUGGAAGCGAGGUCUCUGUUGUUUGGAGGGUUCAGGACCCAGGUUAGCUGUCUCCUGGAAGGGCCUUUGACGUGCCCAGAAGAGGCCUCUGUGAGCCCUGAGUCCCUGCUGGGGUCUCUCGUGCCCCUUCCCCGAUGAGCUGCUUGUCCUCCGGCCCCAGGAUGGCCGAGUGGAGGUGUGCAGGCAGAGACACGCCUGUGAGCACACAGCCGGCUGGGGGCCUCGGAGACCUCGGGUCCAGUCCUGCUGGGCCUGGGCGCUCGGCUCCUGUGAGCGCACCAUCAGCGAGGGAUGCAGGGAUCCUCAGGUCCAGUCCUGCUGGGCCUGGGCGCCCGGCUCCUGUGAGCGCACCAUCAGCGAGGGAUGCAGGGAUCCUCAGGUCCAGUCCUGCUGGGCCUGGGCGCCUGGCUCCUGUGAGCGCACCAUCAGCGAGGGAUGCAGGGAUCCUCAGGUCCAGUCCUGUUGGGCCUGGGCGCCUGGCUCCUGUCUGCAGAGAUACCCCCCCACCCCCACCGGGUCUUUUGAUCUCCCGUGCUGGCAGAGACCCCCUCAAGUGAGCCAGGCUGAGGUGGAAACCCAGAAGCCCAGAGGGAAAGGGUUCCUCCCCCAGCCUGUGCUGGAGUUCCAGCUUCCAGGCACUGAUCUCUGUGACUCCGAUGCUGGAGCCAGCUGAGGACAGCGGGGCAGCCCCGUGGUGAGGUCCUUGUCUGUCAGCUGCCUGGUGCCAGGCCAAGUGGGAAGGUGGCUGCCGUGUGCACGGCUGAGGUCUCAGGCUUGACUGGGUAGGUGGGGUCCCUACCUCACGUGGCAAUGAAGUGUGGUGAGGCAGCUAGAUGGAGGGUGGUGGGCUGGGGGUUCCCAUGGGCUCUGAGUGCACUGGUCAAGG